AGACCGAUAGCGAACAAGUAGAGUGAUCGAAAGAUGAAAAGCACUUUGGAAAGAGAGUUAAAAAGCACGUGAAAUUGUUGAAAGGGAAGCGCUUGCAACCAGACUUCGUGGCGGUGUUCCGCCGGUCUUCUGACCGGUCCACUCGCCGCCGCGAGGCCAGCAUCGUCUGGGGCCGCCGGAUAAGACCUUGGGAAUGUAGCUCGCCUCGGUGAGUAUUAUAGCCCAUGGUGAUACGGCGCGCCCCGGGCGAGGUCCGCGCUUCGGCAAGGAUGCUGGCGUAAUGGUUGUCAGCGGCCCGUCUUGAAACACGGACCAAG
rnacentral:rRNA from 1 species